UGAAGGCAUCAUCUGGUGCAGGCUAUUUUUGAGCACGGGGAGGACGACGUGUAGAUUCCUGAAAAUCUAAAUGAGAGUGACAGAGGUGAUGUGAUGAGGUGCAGAUGAGAUAUAAGAAUUUCAAGCACUAAAAAGGCGGACGAGGCGCUGCGCUGCACUUUAUAACCUCAGCUAACUCCCUGUGUGUUGUGUGGACAUACAAACUUCACCAGCGUUGGCAAAAACCGGCGACUUACACGUUUCAGCCUCCUGCAUAAAAAACACGAUUUCUCUGUGAAGACAGUCGACAGAAUGAGACUGAAGAGGUCUUUGGAGAUGCUGGAGGCCACAGGCUAGCUGAAUGCUGUUAUUGGGAGAAGACAGUCUAUUUGGAAGAUCCACAGGGACGCAUCUUUACCAUAAGAUAAAGUUUGUAGCGCUGUCCACUAAGCAGCAACCUUCCAGAUAGUCUGCCCCUGGCACAGACUGGCCCCCUGUCCCUGCUGCCCUGCCUUCUCCCUGCCUGCCUGUAGGCCAGGCCUUUCCCAGCCAUGUGCAGCUGUCUCACACGCCUCCUAGCAACAGCUGUCUCUCCUCUGCAUGUGGCCCCAGCUGCCUCAUAAACACCCCCCUGCAGAGAGACAAGUAGAGAGACAGAGAGUCAGCUGAAAGGAACCACCAGAGGAAGAAGAUAAAUCACAUUUCCCUGCUUUAAUUUAUGGAGGUUGACGGCAGGGCUGGAGCCUGUCCCAGCAUGCAUUGAGCAGAAGGUGGCAGAGCCUCAGUGGCAGCCACAGAGACCGGAAACUGCUCAGGGAUGUCUGCCACACAGCACGACUGCCUCCGCCCAGCUCCACCAGAAAAGCCCGCAAGUAGCCUGGCCUGAGACCUUUACAUUCUCACAUCAUUGUAAACAUGCAGUUUAAAUCCUUUGUAUGGUCAGGAGCAGAGUGUAUGCCACAGUAAUAACUUAAUCACUAACUGUCACUGAGCACCCUGCACUUAGAGGACAGCUUGUAUUUACUUAGCUUUGAGAUCACGUUUCCCAUUUCUUGAGCCAUCUCAGGAGUUUGUGGCCUCCUGUAGUGUCCAGCCUAAGCUCUAAAAACAUGUACUCCAGCUCAGGAUCUCCCUACAAAGCAGAGAAGGCAAAUUAUCUGAGACAGUCUGGCUUUGCUGUUGACACAUCCAAUCUUUCUUUGCUCUUCCUUUAUCUUAUUUAAAGAUGAAUCUUGCUUGGGAGCAUAUUCUACUCUGUUUCUGACUUUUGAUAAAUUGUUCUCUGA